GUAGCUUGCAUCCAAUUACCAUAUCGCUCCUGUAUAACUUGAGCGUCCUGUGACACAGAGAAACAGCCGGAGCUAUCUGCAGCGCAAAGAUAGAAAUGAUGGAAAAGGAGGCAAAAAAAACUGUUUGGGUGGCGAAAUUUGACUAAUUUACCUUUGGCAUGGAGAGCAUAGCAGACUUUGUAUCACAGAAGAGAGGACAGCACUUGCCUGGGACCCAGAAGUUUCCAUCUGGGCUCACCACCCUUCUCAACAGCAUUUUGAGAGGUUAAAAUAAAAACAAAAUUACUUUGAUGGCUCAGUGGGACACAUUAUUGCAUUCUUAAAGCCUGAAGCAUUGACUCUCCUUGGGUCUCAAGCCUGUAAACUCUUAGAAUGAAAAAACAUCUUGGAUCUCAUGUGUCUCUAACUUGCCAGCAGCAGAUUUUGGGACUUCUCAGCUUGCACAAUUAUGUCCAGUGAUGCACAUACACAUAUAUGAACUCCGUAAUCUCCGCACACUUCACCAGAUCUGACCCACAAAUGAUGGAGGCAAAGAACAGAUACUCUGCUGGUGGGAAUUGCUACAAAGAGACUCUAUUCCUUCCAUAAGUUUAGGUUGGAAAUCAAAAUAAGAUACUGUAAUUCAUUGUAGUGUGCUCUUCAAGACUUAGAUCAAUAACUUGUGCAAUUGUUUUACUUAUAAAGCAAGUUAGGAGGCACAUGAUUUUAGGGUUUGAAUAAAGUCACU